GGCGAACGGCUGAGUAACACGUGGGCAACCUGCCCUUUGCACUGGGAUAGCCUCGGGAAACCGAGGUUAAUACCGGAUACUCCAUAUUUGUCGCAUGGCGAAUAUGGGAAAGCUCCGGCGGCAAAGGAUGGGCCCGCGGCCUGUUAGCUAGUUGGUGGGGUAGUGGCCUACCAAGGCAAUGAUGGGUAGCCGGGUUGAGAGACCGACCGGCCAGAUUGGGACUGAGACACGGCCCAGACUCCUACGGGAGGCAGCAGUC
rnacentral:rRNA from 1 species